rnacentral:rRNA from 1 species
AAACCUAAMGGCGCAAUGAAAGUAAAGGUCCUCCUCGCGGGGACUGAGGGAGGACGGGCGGUUUUCACCCUUAAAAGUGGCCGCUCCGCACUCCCGGGGCGUCUCGUUCUCAUCGCGAGAAGAGGCGCACCAAGAGCGUACACGCUGGGACCCGAAAGAUGGUGAACUAUGCCUGGUCAGGRMSAAUUGRGGGGAAACCCUGAUGGAGGUCCGUAGCGAUUCUGACGUGCAAAUCGAUCGUCGGAACUGGGUAUAGGGGCGAAAGACUAAUCGAACCAUCUAGUAGCUGGUUCCCUCCGAAGUUUCCCUCAGGAUAGCUGGCGCUCGUCGCGCACGARUCUCAUCCGGUAAAGCGAAUGAUUAGAGGCAUUGGGGUCGAAACSACCUCAACCUAUUCUCAAACUUUAAAUGGGUGARAUCYCCSGCUUGCUCGAACUAUAUUAUAUAUGAAGCCGCSAGACACGGAUCA